AAAAAUUUAGUUAAAAGAUAACGUUAGCUUGUCAAGCUAAAAUUAUUAAUCUAUUAAUAAUUUUUA
rnacentral:tRNA from 1 species